GAUGAACGCUGGCGGCGUGCUUAACACAUGCAAGUCGAACGGUGAACGAGGGAGCUUGCUCCCUCCGGAUCAGUGGCGAACGGGUGAGUAACACGUGAGCAAUCUGCCCUGGACUCUGGGAUAAGCGUUGGAAACGACGUCUAAUACCGGAUACGAGGCGUGGGGGCAUCCCCAACGCCUGGAAAGAACUUCGGUCCAGGAUGAGCUCGCGGCCUAUCAGCUAGUUGGUGAGGUAACGGCUCACCAAGGCGACGACGGGUAGCCGGCCGGAGAGGGUGACCGGCCACACUGGGACUGAGACACGGCCCAGACUCCUACGGGAGGCAGCAGUGGGGAAUAUUGCACAAUGGGCGCAAGCCUGAUGCAGCAACGCCGCGUGGGGGACGACGGCCUUCGGGUUGUAAACCUCUUUUAGCAGGGAAGAAGCGAAAGUGACGGUACCUGCAGAAAAAGCACCGGCUAACUACGUGCCAGCCGCCGCCGUAACAC
rnacentral:rRNA from 1 species